rnacentral:rRNA from 2 species
GGACUACCCGGGUUUCUAAUCCUGUUUGCUCCCCACGCUUUCGUGCAUGAGCGUCAAUCUUGACCCAGGGGGCUGCCUUCGCCAUCGGUGUUCCUCCACAUCUCUACGCAUUUCACUGCUACACGUGGAAUUCUACCCCCCUCUGCCAGAUUCUAGCCUUGCAGUCUCCAUCGCAAUUCCCAGGUUGAGCCCGGGGAUUUCACGACAGACUUACAAAACCGCCUGCGCACGCUUUACGCCCAGUAAUUCCGAUUAACGCUUGCACCCUACGUAUUACCGCGGCGGCUGGCAC